CCUACGGGUGGCAGCAGUGAGGAAUAUUGGUCAAUGGCCGAGAGGCUGAACCAGCCAAGUAGCGUGAAGGAUGACUGCCCUACGGGUUGUAAACUUCUUUUAUAAGGGAAUAAAGUGAGGCACGUGUGCCUUUUUGUAUGUACUUGAUGAAUAAGGAUCGGCUAACUCCGUGCCAGCAGCCGCGGUAAUACGGAGGAUCCGAGCGUUAUCCGGAUUUAUUGGGUUUAAAGGGUGCGUAGGUGGACUGUUAAGUCAGUUGUGAAAGUUCGGGGCUCAACCGUAAAAUUGCAGUUGAUACUGGCUGUCUUGAGUACAGGAGAGGUAGGCGGAAUGCGUAGUGUAGCGGUGAAAUGCUUAGAUAUUACGAAGAACUCCGAUUGCGAAGGCAGCAUACUGGA
rnacentral:rRNA from 1 species